GACGAGGUGUAGCGCAGUCUGGUCAGCGCAUCUGUUUUGGGUACAGAGGGCCAUAGGUUCGAAUCCUGUCACCUUGAU
rnacentral:tRNA from 1 species